UUGGAGGGCAAGUCUGGUGCCAGCAGCCGCGGUAAUUCCAGCUCCAAUAGCGUAUAUUAAAGUUGUUGCAGUUAAAAAGCUCGUAGUUGAAUUUCGGGGUUAGUAGGUUGGUCAUGCCUCUGGUAUGUACUGGUCUCACUGAUUCCUCCUUCCUGAUGAACCUUAAUGCCAUUAAUUUGGUGUUUUGGGGAAUUUGGACUGUUACUUUGAAAAAAUUAGAGUGUUUAAAGCAAGCUAACGCUUGAAUACAUUAGCAUGGAAUAAUGAAAUAGGACGUUCGAUCUAUUUGUUGGUUCUAGGAUUGACGUAAUGAUUAAUAGGGAUAGUUGGGGCGAUUAGUAUUCAAUUGUCAGAGGUGAAAUUCUUGGAUUUAUUGAAGAAC
rnacentral:rRNA from 1 species